rnacentral:tRNA from 1 species
AAGGUCUUAAGUUAACUAAACUAUUAGCCUUCAAAGCUGAAAAUAAAAUGAUGAUAUUUUAGGUCUUA